GCCUCUUCAUCUCUCCAUCCUCCCUCCGCCCGCACACUCAGCCGUCCUCGUCCGCUCACCAUGCACCCCCACCCCAGAAAGGGCCACAUGCGUGCCAGGGACGCGAGCCCCGGCCACAGGGACCUAGCAGCCUAGAAGACCAAUGGGGCUUUCUCCUUGCCCUAAGUGCUCCAUCUCUAACACUGGCAUGAAGGAAACACCAAGUGGCACUGCUGAUGCUGCCCAGCCCCACUGAGCGCAGAGGCCAACGAUGUCAGGUAUACCAGGAACACUUAUCAACAUCCUGCAUGGUUCCAGCAAAGACGUUAAGACAGUUGGGACUGUUGGUGAGGACAGAGGAUCUUCACAAACCCUCUGACUCUAAGAGCCGGGGAGACCUGCUGGAGUUUACCCCACAUUCCCUUAAUUAAAAAAAUCAAUUUUGCUGGGCACGGUGGCUCGCGUCUGUAAUUCCAGCAAUUUGGGAGGUCAAGGCAGGAGGAUUGCUUGAGCCCAAGAGUUUAAGACCAGCCUGGGCAACAUGGGAAAUGCGAUUUAUCAGAAGGAAAACUGAAAUUGAAGCCACAAGGAAAACAAGAAAGCACUCAUGUGGACUCUUCAGGUGACAGAGCUUGAGCUGAAGGCCAAGUCACAGUUACGCUUUCUAAGAAUUAUCGGCAUGACUCUUGGAAGAAAAACGCUAAUUUGUAAAAAGUUCCUAGUUAAAAGAUAUACUGAGUUUUCCCCCUCGAGUGUAUCAGCGAACUCUGGCAAACAAUAAAUAAGUAAUACAGCUUUUUACUAAAAAUGCCACAAAGUAAGCUAUUCUCACCCAAAACAUCCAGCUUAACUAAGGUUUUAUAUAAAUGUACUUUUCUUUUGAUUUUUAUACAGGUGAUAGAGAACAAAAUUUAUGAACCUACAUAUGGGAGGGGCUGAUGACAAAAAUUUGCAAAAACCCCAUUAGCACAGUUUUCAAUUAUUAUUAUUAUUAUUUUUUUGUAGAGAUGGGGUCUCACGGUGUUGCCCAGGCUAGUCUCAAACUUGAGCUCAAGUGAUCCUCCUGCCUCUCAGCCUCCCAAAGCGCUAGGAUUACUGGCAUAAGCCACCAUGACUGGCCCCUAAUUAGCACCUAAAAAUUUUUUUUUUUUUUUUUUUUUUUUUUUUGAGACAGAGUCUCAGUCUGUCGUCAAGGCUGUUGGCUCACUGCACCCUCUGCCUCCCAGGUCCAAAUGAUUCUCGUGCCUCAGCCUCCCAGGUAGCUGGGAUUACAAGCAUGUGCCACCACACCUGGCUAAUUUUGUAUUUUUUCUGUAGAGACGGGGUUUUGCCAUGUUGGCCAGACUGGUCUUGAACUCCUGGCCUCAAGGAUUAGCACAGUUUUUAAUGCCACUUCCUUUCCUCCAGUCUGCUCACUGGCCUCAGAACUGAGCAUGAGUGGCACCUGUGUGUAGCACAGGGGCUGCCAAAUAGCCCCCACUGACACGGGCUCAGAACUUCACCAGCUUUAUGAACAAGGCAUUUAAUCAUCACAACUACUCUAUAAGGAAGACACUACUAUGACGACCAUUUUACAGAUGGGGAAACUGAGGCACAGUGUAGUUAAAUGACUUGCUCAGGGUCAUGCACCUCCUAGCGGCAGAGCUGGAGUCAAACCUAGGCAGCCUGGCUCUUCAACCUGUGCACUGUCUUUCAUUAGAUGAGUACAAGGUCAGAGACCUGUCAGGAAGCCAUGGUCAACUGUUAACCUCAAAUCAAAGUGGUUGUCAAAGGGAAAAUCCCAAACUGCACUUGAAAUCAUGGUGGUGAUGCUCUCUCUCUGGCUGGCAUAGUCAAUGGCCGCCUCGCUCCACUGGGGACUUGGAGGUUCACCUUCCUCCCUUCCCUGCCCUCUAAUGGGUAGACAUGUGACUGCACGGAACAGCAGCAGCAGGGGCGGCAGAAAGGACAGGCAGAGCUCACACAAGCUGGAAACUGUGUGUUCUUAAAAAUGUACUCAGUUAUUUUCUCUGGUGUGGAGAGCAGUAAAUUAUGUGGUUUGGAAGCUACUACUACACUACUAUUUCCUGAAAGAGCUUUCUAGCACGGCCUGUCACAGACACAUAUUUACAAGUAUGCCUCAGUCUCUCUCUGAGAACACAGACAAAUAUUGAGCUUUAUUAGUUGGAAAAAUAUGCUAAGAUUCAACCAGACAAGAAUGUUUUAAAAAUUCUAUUAUUAUGGUUAAACUUUUAUAAACAAAUGUUAGAGUUAAUUUAAAAACAUAUUUGGACAUGCAACCAUACUCAAGUGCCUUGUAACAUAUUAAACAGGCCGUUUUAGAUCAUUAUUAAUAUUCCAGACAGAAAGCUGCUCAUGCUCCCAACAAGUGACGGUUAGCGCGACCCAUCACAUACCGUCCAUCUGCAUCUUCUUUGGCUGCAUAGAGGGGGAAGACAUAGAAGACGUCACCCGGAAGUUUGCAGGGAGAGUCUCUGCUGACCCAGCAGCUAAGCCACGAAUGUCCUUUGGUCUAAACUUUUUUCUCCAUGAAGGUGCUCUCCUAAAGCUUUUAUCAUCAUCCUGGUAAAUUAAAGAACAAAAAACAAGAUUCAUUUAAAAAAUAAAGGUCAGAGAUGUAAAGUUAAA